rnacentral:rRNA from 1 species
UACGUAGGGUGCGAGCGUUAAUCGGAAUUACUGGGCGUAAAGCGUGCGCAGGCGGUUGUGUAAGACAGAUGUGAAAUCCCCGGGCUCAACCUGGGAACUGCGUUUGUGACUGCACAACUAGAGUACGGCAGAGGGAGGUGGAAUUCCGCGUGUAGCAGUGAAAUGCGUAGAGAUGCGGAGGAACACCGAUGGCGAAGGCAGCCUCCUGGGCCAGUACUGACGCUCAUGCACGAAAGCGUGGGGAGCAAACAGG